rnacentral:rRNA from 1 species
AGCAGCCGCGGUAAUUCCAGCUCCAAUAGCGUAUAUUAAAGUUGUUGCAGUUAAAAAGCUCGUAGUUGAAUUUCGGAAUCAGUACGUUGGUCGUGCCUUUGGUAUGUACUGGUGUCACUGAUUCCUCCCUUCUGACGAACCGUGAUGUCAUUAAUUUGGUGUUGCGGGGAAUCAGGACUGUUACUUUGAAAAAGUUAGAGUGUUUAAAGCAGGCUCACGCUUGAAUACAUUAGCAUGGAAUAAUGAAAUAGGACGUUUGAUUCUAUUUUGUUGGUUUCUAGGAUCGACGUAAUGAUUAAUAGGGAUAGUUGGGGGCAGUUAGUAUUCAAUUGUCAGAGGUGAAAUUCUUGGAUUUAUUGAAGACUAACUACUGCGAAAGCAUUUGCCAAGGAUGUUUUCAUUAAUCAAGAACGAAAGUUAGGGGAUCGAAGACGAUCAGAUACCGUCGUAGUCUUAACCAUAAACUAUAGCCGACUAGGGACCGGAUGAUGUUAAUUUUAUAAUGACUCAUUCGGACG